rnacentral:tRNA from 1 species
GGAGUGGCUGUGGCUCAAUGGAAGAGCCUCCAAUUUGUAUGGAGAAGGUCCCAGGUUCGAUCCUUGGCAUCUCCA